GGCUCUGUGGUGCAAUGGACAGCACAUUGGACUUCUAUGGUAAAAUGUCAUUCAAAGGCUGUGGGUUCAAAUCCCACCAGAGUCA
rnacentral:tRNA from 1 species